CAGUAGCCGCGGGAAUACGUAGGGUGCGAGCGUUAAUCGGAAUUACUGGGCGUAAAGCGUGCGCAGGCGGUUUUGUAAGACAGGCGUGAAAUCCCCGGGCUCAACCUGGGAAUGGCGCUUGUGACUGCAAAGCUAGAGUGCGGCAGAGGGGGAUGGAAUUCCGCGUGUAGCAGUGAAAUGCGUAGAUAUGCGGAGGAACACCGAUGGCGAAGGCAAUCCCCUGGGCCUGCACUGACGCUCAUGCACGAAAGCGUGGGGAGCAAACGGGAUUAGAUACCCGCGUAGUCCCUGUCUCUUAUAC
rnacentral:rRNA from 1 species